rnacentral:misc_RNA from 1 species
CAGACGCGAAAUGUGUUAUGACUUGCAAUCUUCGCGAAUCAUUUAAUCUUUGAACGCAACUUGCACCCUCGGGCUUGACCCUUGGGUAUACUUGUUUGAGUAUCGUCUAUGCUCUCACGCGUCCCUCUCCCUCACGGGUCCGGGUCGGGUGGACUUGAAGCGUAGGGGCCCCCGGGCCUCUUGCCUCCAAAUGCAUGAUCCUGCUCCAGUAGACAGGUCCUGGCCCGUUGCCGCAAGGCAUCGGGAGCCAACUUGGGAUAACGUCCAUCAAGUUUGGUUACCUGUCCUUCCUGGACUCGGCAGUCAGCAAUGGCUGUGCGGAUCAAACGAACGUGCCGCGGGCCAUGGCCUUGCGGGACACCUCUUUGACGUACCGAUCUCAAAUCAAGUAAGGUUACCC